AAUUGCAUUUAUUCAGUUUUUGCCUUCUGCGACUUCCCUUCCCGUCCUUCCCAAAUCGGCUAUGAAGCUCUCGUGUCUCAACCCUUAAUCUCAUCUCAGCCGUCGUGGCCACCACUUAGCUCGAAAACUGCAGUUGCUGUCGUCGUCGCACCUCCAGGUAAUAUUUCCUCUCUCUCUCCUCAUGAUUGUUCUCCUAUACAUGUAACCCUAGAUCCCAUGCCCUCCAAUUUACAUGAAUCUGUUCUAGAGCCCCUUCAACCCAUCAACUCAGACUCAUUCAAUGAUCACACGGUCAAUGAAUAACAUAUAAAAACCCAAACAGCUUCAUAAUAUCACCAAACACUCAUUACCCUCAUCCAUUGAACCUACAUGUGUCAGUCAAGCCGUGUCUCACCCAAAGUGGCAUGAGGUUAUGUCUAGUAAGCUUACUACUCUUAUGAGACAUGGUACAUGGGAUUUGGUACCACCACCAAAAGAUUGUCACCCUGUGGGCUGUAAAUGGGUUUUUAGGGUCAAAUGGCAUGCAGAUGGCUCAGUUGACAGAUUUAAGGCUAGACUUAUGGCCAAGGGCUAUAAUCAACGCCCAAGAAUUGACUAUAAGGAGACCAUUAGUCCAGUUAUCAAACCUGCGACAAUUAGGUCUGUUUUAGCAAUUGUCGUGCUAAAGGGUUGGGAAUUAAGACAAAUGGAUAUCAACAAUGCGUUUUUACACGGUCACUUGACAGAAACUGUUUAUAUAACAUAGCCUCCAGGCUUCAAGGACCGGUCCAAACCUGAGCAUGUCUGUAGAUUAAGAAAGGCUACCUAUGGGCUUAAACAAGCUCCACGAGCAUGGUACUCAGAACUUAAAAAUGCCAUUACUCAGCUUGGGUUUCACAACUCUCAUGCUGACUCUUCUCUAUUUAUUUAUGCUCAUGCAUCCAUUACAUGUACUUACUUGUGUAUAUUGAUGAUUUGAUUAUUACGGGCAACGAUACAAAGUUUGUGUCAUCUGUUAUUCACAAGCUUGGUGCUCAGUUCUCAUUAAAAGACAUGGGUCUGUUACAUUACUUUCUUGGAGUGGAGGUUAUCUGGUUUAUUUUUAUCCCAACAUAAAUAUGUUCGUGAUAUUUUGGAAAGCACAAACAUGUUGGGUGCAAAGGAUGUCUCCACUCCACUUUCAACAAGCACCUCUCUUCAACUCUUGGAUGGCACUGCAGCAGUGGAUAGCACUGAAUAUAGAUGUGUUUCAUAUCUCUUUCAACGACUUCCAGUGACCUGCAAUCAGAAGAUAGGUGGGGCUCGGUGUAUUGGGGGACACCUCCAAUGUUUAAGUCAUUAUACAAAUUUUGAAGUGUUUCGAGUCUCAGAACUUUCAGAAGUUUACUGAAAUUAGUCAAUGACCUACAUUCUGAUUUUAGGUCACUGAAAAUUGUUGGCAGAGAUACGAAAUACGUUCGUAACAACAAGAGAAAAAUACCGGGUGACCAGGGAGUGGCUAUGGCAGAAGUACGAAUAAUGCAUGAUCAACUGAUAUUACCGUCCAGCCGAUUUGCAUGAAUGGAGGCUCUUUUACGUCAGAUGGUGGCAGCCCGAAAAAUGGUAUCAGUGCAAGAAAGUGCAAAACAGACAGAUCGACGGCUCAAAGAAAUUGCGAAUGAUAUAUCUGGUUAAAUUAAUUCAUGGAGGAAACUAUCUCAGCCAAUGCAGAACAAAUGGUUUGAGAAUGGCUGUCCAAAUGGUUUGAAGGUCCAACAGCCAUAUAUGGCUCUGUUACGCGUGAGGACGUUGAAUUUAAUAUUAAUUGGAGCACCCAUGCUCCUUUCUUGACCAUACGAUAUGAAGAUAUAUACAUUGCCAAAGUGAUGAUUUUAAUGAUCAUAUUUGGACCAACAUUUGGUUUGCACGAUAACAAAGGUUUUACCGAUCCUAUAAUAGGCACCUCGAGCGGCUUAUUCCAAAUACGCACUCACUCACAUUCCCAAUGGAUUUGACAUGCUGAUGGAGGUGGGCAGGCAUGGCCUUACCUAUAUUUUAGUUCUAAAGGAUGAUCCACUACUGUUGACCAAGACUUCUUCUAACUUUGAAUUCCCAGCCUGAUUUUCUUUUUCUUUGUUUUUAUCCGAGAGUUGAAUUUAGUCAGGUAUUCAAGGUACAUACGUAGUGAAUGGUGACGGGAUUUCCUUAUAGAUUCGGGCAUCAAGUAGGCCCGGCCUAUACAAGUAUUAUGGGCCACAUUGUUCUUUCCCCAGCGAUAUCUUACGAAGUGGUCGUGCCCAGAACUGAUUCACUCUCUCUUUGAUCUGGUCCAUGGUUUUGAACUUCAAUUAUAUAAUUGAGGUAUUGGUCCGAACACAUGUUGUUAUUAUUAUUAUAAUUGUUGAUAUUUUGAGGUUGAGAUAUUGGUCUGUCACAUUGAUUUUCUCUUCUGAGAAUGCAAUUAAGCUAGAGAUUAGUAUCUUCCCAUAUAAUAGAGGUAAGUUGGAGGUGUCGUUGGAGUCCACUAGACCUAUCGAGGAGGAAUCGCAAUCACUCGGCCUAUAUUAUGGUGGAAGCACAAUCUUUCUAUCUGAAGCCGCCCACUUAUAAAACUGCAUCCAUGUUUGGUGGUCCCCAUUUACGUACAGUACUGCCUAAGAUUUGGAUGAUACAAGGAUAAACAAGCUGGGAAACAAAAGCAAUAUUGCAGGAGUAUAUAUGGACUUUUUGUAAGUGGAAGAAUAUAUAUAUAUAUAAUGAUGUGCACGAACCACACCAAUUGUCAAAAAUCUAAU